rnacentral:rRNA from 1 species
GGUAGUUUGACUGGGGCGGUCUCCUCCCAAAGAGUAACGGAGGAGCACGAAGGUGGGCUAAUCACGGUUGGACAUCGUGAGGUUAGUGCAAUGGCAUAAGCCCGCUUAACUGCGAGAAUGACGGUUCGAGCAGGUGCGAAAGCAGGUCAUAGUGAUCCGGUGGUUCUGUAUGGAAGGGCCAUCGCUCAACGGAUAAAAGGUACUCCGGGGAUAACAGGCUGAUACCGCCCAAGAGUUCAUAUCGACGGCGGUGUUUGGCACCUCGAUGUCGGCUCAUCACAUCCUGGGGCUGAAGUCGGUCCCAAGGGUAUGGCUGUUCGCCAUUUAAAGUGGUACGCGAGCUGGGUUUAGAACGUCGUGAGACAGUUCGGUCCCUAUCUGCCGUGGGCGUUGGAAGAUUGAAGGGGGCUGCUCCUAGUACGAGAGGACCGGAGUGGACGAACCUCUGGUGUUCGGGUUGUGUCGCCAGACGCAUUGCCCGGUAGCUAAGUUCGGAAUUGAUAAGCGCUGAAAGCAUCUAAGCGCGAAGCGAGCCCUGAGAUGAGUCUUCCCUGAUACUUUAAGUAUCCUAAAGGGUUGUUCGAGACUAGAACGUUGAUAGGCAGGGUGUGUAAGCGUUGUGAGGCGUUGAGCUAACCUGUACUAAUUGCCCGUGAGGCUUAACCAUACAACACCCAAGG